AUGGUGCAUCUUCCCUGGCAUUGUGGGAUCCCCAUGAGCUCAUCCCAGCAUCGAACAUGGAUGGGAGCAACUCAGGGAACACAACAUCACCUUCCCUUCAUGACCCUCUGCAUGAGGCUGCUGGAUCUGUGGCUGCAGACAUUGAAGGACUGCAAUGUCUCUCUGUAAAAAUGGAGACAGGUUACCUGAGCAAUGGUUGAGGAGAGGACUGCAACCAGGGUAUCUCAAUGGCAUUUGAAGCAUCACGUGAAAGAUCUGUUGCAGAGCAUGACUCUUAUUCUCCAGGGCAGUUGUGAUUGUCUCUCUUCAGUUCUCUCUUCUACACACUUUGGAACUCUUUUGUGUAAGAGGUUGGUGAAGUUCAAUGCUGAGUUCUGCAGGAUUGACUUGGAGAUGCUUCCUUUUGACUUUGAUGCCUGGUUACUUGGAAAGCCCAACAACAGCAUGGAUUUAAGAAUCUGCCUUGUUAAGUACCUUUGA
rnacentral:lncRNA from 1 species